CACUAUCUCCUUGUCGUCAUGCG
rnacentral:miRNA from 1 species